ACGAGUUAGGGUCUUCUAGGCCCGACCUCCCAACCCUAUGUUUAUUGAACCUCUGUUGCUUCGGCGGGCCCGUCUCACGGCCGCCGGAGGAGUCGCCGCGAGGCACCCUCUGGCCAGCGCCCGCCGGUAGCCAACCCCCUAAACUCUGAAUAAAUCGUGUCAUGAUGUCUGAGUCUAUGAUUAAAUUAAAGCA
rnacentral:misc_RNA from 1 species